AUGAACGCUAGCGACAGGCUUAACACAUGCAAGUCGAGGGGUAACAGGGUAGCAAUACCGCUGACGACCGGCGCACGGGUGAGUAACGCGUAUGCAACCUGCCUAUAACUGGGGAAUAGCUCCCUGAAAGGGGAAUUAACACCGCAUAACACUAUUGAUUCGCAUGGAUUAGUAGUUAAAUGUAGCGAUACAGGUUAUAGAUGGGCAUGCGUGACAUUAGCUAGUUGGUGAGGUAACGGCUCACCAAGGCUACGAUGUCUAGGGGUUCUGAGAGGAAGGUCCCCACACUGGUACUGAGACACGGACCAGACUCCUACGGGAGGCAGCAGUGAGGAAUAUUGGUCAAUGGGCGCAAGCCUGAACCAGCCAUGUCGCGUGCAGGAAGACUGCCCCUAUGGGUUGUAAACUGCUUUUAUAGUAGAAGAAACACAUCUACGAGUAGAUGUCUGCCAGUAUACUAUGAAUAAGCAUCGGCUAACUCCGUGCCAGCAGCUGC
rnacentral:rRNA from 1 species